UGCCUCAUGAAAGUCCGUCAAUCGGUACACGCAGUGGAAUGAUAACAUGGCUGAUGUAAAAACAAAGAAGCUUUCAAGUUCACUUCUAGACUAAAGGGCAAUCUUAAUGAUGAUAGAUAUUUUAAUUAUAGUUUAAUUUUCAUGGAAUUUAAAAACAAGUAGUGUCGACCUUAGCUACUAGGUCACAUUACUGCUCUGCCGGUGUUUUUAGUCUGACAAAGUUGGUAAUACAGCAAGGUUUUUUUCUGGAACGUGCUGAAUUGACGACCUUUCACUGUACUAACCAAAAAUGAAACAAAAUAACACGUAUUGAAUCAGAAAACAGCACAAACGCAGUAAAGGAAAAAUGAGAAGCAACCAACCACAGUGACGCACAGGUGCCCACCUCAAUGUAAUUGGCCGGCUGCUGCCUGGCCGGCCUCCCAGGCGCUUGCAGCCUGACCGGGAUGCCGCUGGACCGCGGGUAGGACAGCGGACGAGACGCGGUGCCUGACGUGGACGCUCGGCUGCCUGGCCUCUGCCUGCAGGACACACACGCCUUCCGUCAGCACGCGAUACCUCCAGCGCGGACUACGCUCCAACGACAAUCUCUUUGCUUUGGACUAGGCCUGUGCGAAGCUUCUUGAAAACUGGGUGGUGUCUGUUCACAAAAAUAAUUUAAGAAUACACCGAGGGCAGAAGAGAAGUUCUGUUCCUGUACUUGGUUUUUAAAAUGUAUUUUUAGAAGAAUGAAAAUGGCUCAAACAAGUGA